UACGGAGGAUCCGAGCGUUAUCCGGAUUUAUUGGGUUUAAAGGGUGCGCAGGUUGUUUGAUAAGUCAGUGGUGAAAGUCUGUCGCUUAACGGUAGGAUUGCCAUUGAUACUGUUAGACUUGAAUAUGGAUGAGGUAGGCGGAAUGUGUAGUGUAGCGGUGAAAUGCAUAGAUAUUACACAGAACACCGAUUGCGAAGGCAGCUUACUAAUCCAUCAUUGACGCUGAGGCACGAAGGCGUGGGGAUCAAACAGGA
rnacentral:rRNA from 1 species